GUAAGAAAAUAAAAAAAGGACAAAAAUUGAAUAAAAAUUUCAAAAAUGAAAUGGAAUGACAAAAUGAAAAAAAAAUUAGUUUAACAAAAAAUUGAAAAACAUAUAAGACCUAAUAAUAUAAAAAGUCAGAGAAAAAAUUAAAAAAGAGCAAAGUUAAUGCAAAAUAAAAAAAAAGUAUGAGAAUUUAAAAACGCAAAUAAGAAAUGAAAGGAAAUUUGUGGAAAAAAAAAAAGAAAAGACAAAAGAUUUGGAAUAAAAAACAGAAAAAUAAAAAUUUUUAAAACAAUGAAAAAUUAAAACAAGUAAACACGAAAGCAUAUGUAAAAAAAGCAAAAAGAAGGAAAAUUGUGAAGGGAAAAAGUUAUUA
rnacentral:lncRNA from 1 species